ACUCCUACGGGAGGCAGCAGUGGGGAAUAUUGCACAAUGGGCGCAAGCCUGAUGCAGCCAUGCCGCGUGUAUGAAGAAGGCCUUCGGGUUGUAAAGUACUUUCAGCAGUGAGGAAGGCGGGUACGUUAAUAGCGUGCUUGUUUGACGUUAGCUGCAGAAGAAGCACCGGCUAACUCCGUGCCAGCAGCCGCGGUAAUACGGAGGGUGCGAGCGUUAAUCGGAAUUACUGGGCGUAAAGCGCAUGCAGGCGGCCUGUUAAGUCAGAUGUGAAAGCCCGGGGCUUAACCUCGGAAUUGCAUUUGAAACUGGCAGGCUAGAGUCUUGUAGAGGGGGGUAGAAUUUCAGGUGUAGCGGUGAAAUGCGUAGAGAUCUGAAGGAAUACCAGUGGCGAAGGCGGCCCCCUGGACAAAGACUGACGCUCAGAUGCGAAAGCGUGGGGAGCAAACA
rnacentral:rRNA from 1 species